GCACUAUCAAGGGCUUCGGCCCCGGUACAGUGGCGCACGGGUGUAGUCACACGUGGGUAAUGUUUCCUCGGGCGGGGGAUAACCUUCCGAAAGGAGGGCUAAUACCGCAUAAGACCACGGCCUCGAAAGAGGCUGAGGUCAAAGCAGGCCUCUUCAUGAAAGCUUGCACCUGAGGAUCAGCCCGCGGCCCAUCAGCUUGUUGGCAGGGUAACGGCCUACCAAGGCUAAGACGGGUAGCUGGUCUGAGAGGAUGAUCAGCCACACUGGAACUGAGACACGGUCCAGACUCCUACGGGAGGCAGCAGUGGGGAAUCUUGCGCAAUGGACGAAAGUCUGACGCAGCAACGCCGCGUGAGUGAUGAAGGCCUUCGGGUCGUANAGCUCUUUCAGAAGGGACGAAACCGCCGCGGGACAACACCCCGCGGCAUUGACGGUACCUUCAGAAGAAGCACCGGCUAACUCUGUG
rnacentral:rRNA from 1 species